rnacentral:rRNA from 1 species
UACAGAGGGUGCGAGCGUUGUCCGGAAUCACUGGGCGUAAAGGGCGCGUAGGUGGCGCCCCAAGUCCGUGGUGAAAGCUCGAUGCUCAACAUCGAGUCGGCCACGGAAACUGGGGGGCUCGAGCACUGUAGAGGCAGAUGGAAUUCCGGGUGUAGCGGUGGAAUGCGUAGAGAUCCGGAAGAACACCGGUGGCGAAGGCGGUCUGCUGGGCAGUAGCUGACACUGAGGCGCGACAGCGUGGGGGAGCAAACAGG